CGGCGUGCCUUAUCAUGCUAUCUCGAGCGGACGAUUCACAAGCUUGCUUUUGGAUCGUUAGCGGCGGACGGGUGAGUAACACGUGGGCAACCUGCCCUGUAGACGGGGAUAACACCGAGAAAUCGGUGCUAAUACCGGAUAACACGAAAGGUCGCAUGGUCUUUCGUUGAAAGACGGCGCAAGCUGUCGCUACAGGAUGGGCCCGCGGCGCAUUAGCUAGUUGGUGAGGUAACGGCUCACCAAGGCGACGAUGCGUAGCCGACCUGAGAGGGUGAUCGGCCACACUGGGGCUGAGACACGGCCCAGACUCCUACGGGAGGCAGCAGUAGGGAAUCUUCCGCAAUGGACGAAAGUCUGACGGAGCAACGCCGCGUGAGCGAAGAAGGCCUUCGGGUCGUAAAGCUCUGUUGUUAGGGAAGAACAAGUACCGCAGUCACUGGCGGUACCUUGACGGUACCUAACGAGGAAGCCACGGCUAACUACGUGCCAGCAGCCGCGGUAAUACGUAGGUGGCAAGCGUUGUCCGGAAUUAUUGGGCGUAAAGCGCGCGCAGGCGGUUCCUUAAGUCUGAUGUGAAAACCCACGGCUCAACCGUGNAAGGGUCAUUGGAACCUGGGGGAAUUUGAGUGCAAAAGAAAAAACCGAAAUUCCCCGUUUAGCGGUGAAAUGCAAAUAGAUCNUGAAGGAACCCCAGUGCCAA
rnacentral:rRNA from 1 species